rnacentral:tRNA from 1 species
GCGGGUGUGGUGGAAUUGGUAGACACGUUAGAUUUAGGAUCUAAUGCCUUACGGUGUGGGAGUUCGAGUCUCCCCACCCGUACAA